rnacentral:lncRNA from 1 species
GUGUUUUUCCAAAGCCUUCCAACAGCAACAUGAAGUUGGCAGCCUUCCUCCUCCUGUGAUCCUCAUCAUCUUCAGCCUAGAGGUACAAGAGCUUCAGGCUGCAGGAGACCGGCUUUUGGAUGAAGAGUUAUCUUAAGGAUCAUCUUUCCCUAAGAUCGUCAUCCCUUCCUGGAGUUCCUAUCUUCCAAGAUGUGACUGUCUGGAGUUCCUUGACUAGGAAGAUGGAUGAAAACAGCAAGCCUGUGGAUGGAGACUACAGGGGAUAUGGGAGGCAGGGAAGAGGGGUUGUUUCUUUUAAUAAAUCAUCAUUGUUAAAAGCACUC